CAAAUUUUAGUUUAAUUAAAAAAUUAUUCAUUUACAUUGAAUUGAUAUAAAUUUAUUUUUGUAAAUUUGA
rnacentral:tRNA from 1 species